UGUCUUCAGGGCGGGGUGCAAUUCCCCACUGGCGGUACAGUCCGCGACCGGAUGCAUUCGCAUUCGCUGACUCGGUGUAACUCCGGGACCAACAGUUAAAGUCUGGAUGGAAGAAGAUA
rnacentral:ncRNA from 1 species